rnacentral:rRNA from 1 species
CCUACGGGCGGCUGCAGUGGGGAAUUUUGGACAAUGGGCGAAAGCCUGAUCCAGCCAUGCCGCGUGCGGGAAGAAGGCCUUCGGGUUGUAAACCGCUUUUGUCAGGGAAGAAAAGCGCCAGGCUAAUACCUUGGCGUCAUGACGGUACCUGAAGAAUAAGCACCGGCUAACUACGUGCCAGCAGCCGCGGUAAUACGUAUGGUGCAAGCGUUAAGCAGAAUUACUGGGCGCGAAGCGUGCGCAGGCGGGCGAAAUCCCCGGGCUCAACCUGGGAACUGCAUUUGUGACUGCACGGCUUGAGUGCGGCAGAGGGGAAUGGAAUUCCGCAUGUAGCAGUGAAAUGCGUAGAUAUGCGGAGGAACACCGAUGGCGAAGGCAAUUCCCUGGGCCUGCACUGACGCUCAUGCACGAAAGCGUGGGGAGCAAACAGGAUUAGAUACCCUUGUAGUC